rnacentral:lncRNA from 1 species
UUUAAUAGGUUACAAAGUUGAACUGAGUUUAAGAUGAAUUUCUCUUAAGAUUUAGAGAUUAAUCAUGUGUGUGCUCUCCCCCUCCCCAUACACAUUUAGUCAUACCUUCCUUGAACCAAACUUUGAAAUUCUUUCCUUGCAUUUGAAAAUUUUUGCAGCCAGCAAAUGGUUCUUUAACAAGUUUGCAUGAUCCAGCUACUACCUUGAGAAAGUUAAACAAAACAAAAACACUGGUCGUUUAGAGCCAAGCAAUGUGGCUUCAUCGUCGGGCUGUGCUCUGCAUGGUGUGGACUUGCCCUCGUGGGGGAAGCUGGUGCUAUGCAUGAGUGAGCACCUGGAGUGGAAUACCUGUGGUGUGAGGAAAGGAUGCAUAUGCUAUUUUCAUCUUUCUGCUUUUUUCUUCUCAGCUCCUCUAUUAACAAUUUGGGAAAUUUAAUAGAAUAAGUAGCAUGUAGAAAGCAUUCCAGAAUCCUACCAUAUUAUUUAGUUUUGACAGUGAUUAAAAGGUAACAGGCAGGGGCUGGUGAGAUGGCUCAGUGGUUAAGAGCGCCGACUGCUCUUCUGAAGGUCCCGAGUUCAAAUCCCAGCAGCCACAUAGUGGCUCACAACUAUCUGUAACAAAAUCUGAUGCCCUCUUCUGGAGUAUCUGAGGACAGCUACAGUGUAUAUAAUAAAUAAAUAAAUCAAAAAAAAAAAAAAAAAAAAAAAGGUAACAGGUAAAUUUUGUAAGUCCCUUGUCAGGAUUUCCAAAGAAAUGUUUAGUGUUUGCAAAGAAUUCUAGAAAGUAGGUUUAUUUUUAGUCAGAACCUGCAGAGCUCUCUGGACCCUGCCAGGUCAGCCCCAGCUCAGUGUGUAUGUACUAGGGAAUGUCCUUGCAAAGGACAUGUGAGACGUGACCUGAGGUGAGUGUAAUGAGGACUAAGUAAAAUUCAUUGCUGCAUCUCUGAAUUCUAACAAUUGCUACCUCUAAGAGCAAUAGAUACUUUUGAAUGUGGGCUCACAUCUGUAAUUCCAGCAUUUUGGGAGAUGAAGGUAGGAGGAUCAGGAGUUUAAGGCCAGUCUGGGAUACAUGAGACCCUUCCCACUGCCACCCCCCCCAAAAAAAAUCAUGAAAAAUAUUAAAUAUUUUUAGUUUUAUUAUUUUACAUUUAUGAGUGUGGUCAUUACUCUAGCUCCCCCAAAGUUAUUACUUUUUAAUACAGUUAACACACUGACAAGGUACAAAGGAAUAGGCAUGGUGUUUUUCCUUCCAUUAAACAAUUUAAAUUUUUCUCUUUUUAGACAAAACCAAUCUUAACAGUAUUAUACAUGUCCUUCCAAAGAAGUUAUGCUUAAUAAUAAUGAAAUGCAUUUCCUGUUACUGUAUGAAACAUGACAUGGUGACGAUACAGCCCUUUCUUUUAAAAACAUAAUCAGUCUAUAAGUAUGUAGUUAUAUUCAUAUUUUAGGUAGGUCUUAGUACAGCAAUCCUGGGAUGAGGGUAGGGUAUGUCUCUGUAGAUGUGAGGCAGGGAAAUGAACUGAGAAGAGGUGAGAAUGAACACUUAGUUCAGUUUGACUUUGUCAGACUGGGUCAAACUUUGCCAGGUAAUUUUUUGUGAGCAUAUUUAAACACAGU